CAAAGCUGCUAUUAAAAGUCUCACUUCCGCCGUUCUUGGUGCCUCUAAGUCCAUUCUUUGGGUUUUGACAGCAAUUCCAUGUUUGUGUGAUACUUGUGCAAGGGUUUCAGCCAGUUUGGGAACAAAAUCCAAAAUUGGGCCCAAAUGCCCAACCAUUGUGACUGGGUCAGGUCAGCUACACCCUUUACAAGCAAGCACAAGGCUGCUGGAUCCACGGAUACCCACCUAACUACCUAGGGACAGAGAGCCAGGACCCCCAGUAGGCAGGGACAGUCAAAAAAAAAAAAGAUUUAUGGGGAUCAUGUCUCUCAGUGGGAAAUGAGGCAGGAGGAUAGGGAAUUAGGGUCGCCACGGGUUAAGGCAUAAGUGAAAGAGGAGCAGGUGCAGCCAGUUCCAGGCAAGACGAGGCAGCACACGGGCCACAUCCGCUCUUGGGAUGACGAGACGGAAGUCUCCACUUCAGACUCUUGACUGAUUGAUCACAGCGCAGGCCAAUCCUUCAUGAGACGUAACCUGCUGGAGGUCUCCAAAGGGCACCUAGGGGUGUUACCAAAUUCCUUCAGCUUCAUAAGAACCCUAAAGAACACUGCAGUUGGGCUCGUGAGCCGCUUGCUCGAGCCGCUCCCAGCCGCGGAGUGCACUUGCGCGUCAAUGAAUCUGCGCUUUCGUUGCUUCUUUUGAUGCUUUGUUCUUUCGUUGUUUUGUUUGUGCGUUUUGUUCAGUUCUUUGUUCAACACGCCAAGAACCGGGACAACUCACAGUCAAGACCUCCCCUCCAAUAACAGAAUGUCAGACUCCAGAGCAGGAAGUGUGUGGGAUGGCCUGGGAGUGCUCAGGGCCGUUGCAGCUCAGCACCACGUGUCUGCGUGAGGUGCGCAGCUGGUCUGUGCACGUGCUGUGGGAGUAUGAGGUGGGACAGCUGCUCUGGAAAAAGUCUGGCCAUUUCUUUCUUUCUCUCUCUUCCCUCCCUCCAUCCCUCCCCCCCUCUCUCUGUCUCUCUUUUCUUUUCUUUUCUUUUCCCUUCUUCCUUCCUUUCUUUCCUUCCUUCCUUCUUUCUUUCUUAGAUGGAGUUUCACUCUCAUCACCCAGGCUGGAGUGCAGUGGCACAAUCUCGGCUCAAGUGAUUCUCCUGCCCCAGCCGCCUGAGUAGUUGGGAUUACAGGUGUGUCACCACGCCUGGCUAAUUUUUGUAUUUUUAGUAGAGACGAGGUUUUACCAUGUUGGCCAGGCUGGUCUCGAACUCCUGACCUCAGGUGAUCUGCCCACCUCGGCCUCCCAAAGUGCUGGGAUUACGGGCGUGAGCCACCGCGCCUGGCCUGGCAAUUUCUUAGAGAACGAUUUACUUGACCUUUGGACACAGCAACUCUGGACACGGCAACUCUGUACCCCAAUAUUUACCCAAGAGAAUGCGGGACUCAGGAAUGUACCCGAGCCAAACACGGCACACAGCCCAGGGUCGGCCAACAAGGAAGUGGAUAAGCAAACGUUGUAACGCUCAUGCGUGGAACGCUCACGCGUGGGAUGCCACUCAGCCAUGCAAGGGAACAAACUGCCAGGACCCUGGCCGCACGCAUCACAAGGAGCCUGCAGGAAAGGAUAUGGACCACAUGGUUUGACUUAUGUGACGUUCUAGAGCAGGCCAAAGUAACCUAUGGUUUUAAAAGUUUCAGAACAGUUGUUGUCUUUGCAGAAGGGAGGAGAUGGGGUUUCACUGGAGCUGGGCAGGGUAGGAUGUGGGUUGGGGGAUUAGUAAUGUCUAUAUUUUGUUAGGGGUUUGGGUUACACGGGUGUAUGCAUUUGUCAGAACUAUGGAAUGGCACCCUCAAGGUGCAUGCAUUUCACUGAAUGUGGUUUCACCUCUAAACGUAAUUGAUGAUAUGUUAGGUAGUUAUGAAGUGUAAGCUAGAGUCUCUGUGGGAAGCGUGCAGGUGGCUACAGCUUACUUUGAAGUCCAUCAAGAAUAGGAGAUGGGUUGGGGUGAAUAUAUGAUAAAGCAAAUGUAACAACAUAUGAAUUGUAGGAUCCAGGUGCCAGGUAUACGGGUGUUCAUUGUAAACUUCUUUCCAUUUGUCCUGUGUUCUUGAAAUUGUUCAUAAUGUGUUGGGAGAAGCCACAGGGUCAUGUCAGAGGACACAGGAGUCAGCCUGAAGAGGACCCAGUGCCAGAGGUGAUGGCUGGGGCCCCUGGGGAUGCU
rnacentral:lncRNA from 10 species